rnacentral:rRNA from 1 species
UACGUAGGGGGCGAGCGUUGUCCGGAUUUAUUGGGCGUAAAGAGCUCGUAGGCGGUUUGGUAAGUUGGAUGUGAAAUCUCCAGGCUCAACUUGGAGGGGUCAUUCGAUACUGCCAUGACUAGAGUUCGGUAGGGGAGUGUGGAAUUCCUGGUGGAGCGGUGAAAUGCGCAGAUAUCAGGAAGAACACCUAUGGCGAAGGCAGCUCUCUGGGACGGUACUGACGCUGAGACGCGAAAGCGUGGGGAGCGAACAGG